rnacentral:rRNA from 1 species
UACGGAAGGGGCAAGCGUUGUUCGGAAUCAUUGGGCGUAAAGGGCGUGUAGGUGGUUCUGUAUGUCUACCGUGAAAGCGUACGGCUCAACCGUAUUUAGUCGGUAGAAACUGCAGGACUUGAGGCUGGGAGGGCUGGUGGAAUUCCCCGUGUAGCGGUGGAAUGCGUAGAGAUGGGGGAGAACACUCGUGGCGAAGGCGGCCAGCUAGACCAGUUCUGACACUGAGGCGCGUAGCGUGGGGAGCAAACAGG